UACGUAGGGCGCAAGCGUUAUCCGGAAUUAUUGGGCGUAAAGAGCUCGUAGGCGGGUUGUCGCGUCUGCCGUGAAAGUCCGGGGCUCAACUCCGGAUCUGCGGUGGGUACGGGCAGACUAGAGUGAUGUAGGGGAGACUGGAAUUCCUGGUGUAGCGGUGAAAUGCGCAGAUAUCAGGAGGAACACCGAUGGCGAAGGCAGGUCUCUGGGCAUUAACUGACGCUGAGGAGCGAAAGCGUGGGGAGCAAACAGG
rnacentral:rRNA from 1 species